UCAGGUGUGGAAUCUGAGGCA
rnacentral:miRNA from 1 species